CUUUACUGUAGCCUGGUAUUGGGUUCGGGCUUUGACUGCGCAGGAUAGGUGGGAGACUGAGAAGUGUGCCUUGUGGGGCACAUAGAGUCAACGGUGAGAUACCACUCUGUCAGAGCUAGAAUUCUAACCUUCACCCGUGAUCCGGGGAAGGAACCGUAUCAGGUGGGCAGUUUGACUGGGGCGGUCGCCUCCUAAAAGGUAACGGAGGCGCGCAAAGGUGUUCUCAGGCUGGUUGGAAAUCAGCCGUAGAGUGUAAAGGCAGAAGAACGCUUGACUGUGAGAGUGACAACUCAAGCAGGGUGGAAACACGGCCUUAGUGAUCCGACGGUACGCGCGUGGAAGUGCCGUCGCUCAACGGAUAAAAGUUA
rnacentral:rRNA from 1 species